rnacentral:lncRNA from 1 species
UGUUUUUUUGGUCUUGUAUCCUGUAGCUAUUUCCAAUUUGAUUAUUUGCUUAUUGCCAUUUUUUUCUUGCUUUAUUUUUGUGAAUUCUUUGGAAUCAUAUCUUCAACAAGUAGAGGUAAACAUCUUCCUGUUCACAGUUGUAUAUUAAGAAUUUCUACUAUGCUGCCAAGUAGGAUUAUUGAAAAUAGUGCCAGUGUUUUAUUGAUUUUUUUAGAAAAUAGGUUUUAGUUGUUUACUGUUGAAUAUGAUUUUUUGUUUUAUUUUUGAGACAGGGUCUCAACUAUAUUGUCCUAGUUGGCCUAGAACUUUCUGUGUAGACCAGGCCUCAAACUUAUACAGAGAUCUGCUUGCCUCUUCUUCCCUAGUGCUGGGGUCAAAGGCAGGUAUCCAUUAACUAUUGUUACUGUUGGCUUUCUGUGCCUCCUUAUU